rnacentral:tRNA from 1 species
GGCAACGUGGCCGAGUGGUUAAGGCGGUGCCCUGCUAAGGCAUUGGGUUCUGCCCGCGUAGGUUGGAAUCCUGCCGUUGUCG